rnacentral:rRNA from 1 species
CCUACGGGUGGCUGCAGUGAGGAAUAUUGGUCAAUGGACGUAAGUCUGAACCAGCCAAGUCGCGUGCAGGAUGACGGUUCUAUGGAUCGUAAACCUCUUUUAUGAGGGGAUAAACUGUGGUACGUGUCCUCUUUUGUAUGUACCUUAUGAAUAAGGAUCGGCUAACUCCGUGCCAGCAGCCGCGGUAAUCCGGAGGAUCCGGGCGUUAUCCGGAUUUAUUGGGUUUAAAGGGUGCGUAGGCGGCCUGUUAAGCCAGCGGUGAAAUGCCGUGGCUCAACCAUGGAAUUGCGGUGGAAACUGGGGGGCUGGAGUGUGUUGAAGGCAGGCGGAAUGCGUGGUGUAGCGGUGAAAUGCUUAGAUAUCACGCAGAACCCCGAUUGCGAAGGCAGCAUGCGAAGGCAUGACUGACGCUGAUGCACGAAAGCGUGGGUAUCAAACAGGAUUAGAUACCCGUGUAGUC